AUAUGUAGAGAUCCUAACCCUAUUUAUGUAACCUUAAUUACAUUAGGAUUAGGAACCCUCAUUCCAACUCUAAUUAGGAAUUAAAUUAAAUGAACCUUCUAGAUAAAAUAAACUACUAUUUCUUAUAACUUUUCCUAAAAUAAGGAGUCCUAAAAUUUCUAAGAUUUGCUACAUUACCUUCCUUCUACAAUUAUAAUUAGCAAGUGUUGGUUUUUGAGUUUGCCUCAAUUGCAGCUAUUUAAAGGCUAUUUCACCCUGAACAUGGCUUUUCUUUAGCUAUUAUUUUUCAAGUUUGUUUAUCUGGAUUCAGGGACCAACACACUGGCAUAAAACUAAAAGUUUUUAUCAUGACUGCUCUGUGAUUUGGUCAAACCAAAAUAUUUACAAUAACGUAAUAAUAUUUGAAUUAUUUACUCUUGCUGCAGAAGGUAGAUAUAUAUCCUUUCUUUCUCUCUACCCAACCUUUGUUUUCAAAAAUUUCAACUGAUAAUCAACAUUGCAAAAAUCUUCUAGAAUAUAAAUAUAUUAAAAUUGUUUCAUGUGUUCUCUAUCGAUAGUGUUUUAUUAGUUCAAUUUGAUUCAACAGGUCCUAACACUAAUAGGGACAUAUAUAUGAAAGAAAAUAUGGUUUCGCUCCCUGUAGCAGUGAUAGCACUUGUAAAUGCUCAAGUCAAGUUAGCUUAAAUUUCUCUUGCAAUUCUAUCAACAUCCU
rnacentral:misc_RNA from 1 species